AUUGAACGCUGGCGGCAGGCCUAACACAUGCAAGUCGAACGGUAGCACAGAGAGCUUGCUCUUGGGUGACGAGUGGCGGACGGGUGAGUAAUGUCUGGGAAACUGCCCGAUGGAGGGGGAUAACUACUGGAAACGGUAGCUAAUACCGCAUAACGUCGCAAGACCAAAGUGGGGGACCUUCGGGCCUCACACCAUCGGAUGUGCCCAGAUGGGAUUAGCUAGUAGGUGGGGUAAUGGCUCACCUAGGCGACGAUCCCUAGCUGGUCUGAGAGGAUGACCAGCCACACUGGAACUGAGACACGGUCCAGACUCCUACGGGAGGCAGCAGUGGGGAAUAUUGCACAAUGGGCGCAAGCCUGAUGCAGCCAUGCCGCGUGUAUGAAGAAGGCCUUCGGGUUGUAAAGUACUUUCAGCGAGGAGGAAGGCAUUGUGGUUAAUAACCGCAGUGAUUGACGUUACUCGCAGAAGAAGCACCGGCUAACUCCGUGCCAGCAGCCGCGGUAAUACGGAGGGUGCAAGCGUUAAUCGGAAUUACUGGGCGUAAAGCGCACGCAGGCGGUCUGUCAAGUCGGAUGUGAAAUCCCCGGGCUCAACCUGGGAACUGCAUUCGAAACUGGCAGGCUAGAGUCUUGUAGAGGGGGGUAGAAUUCCAGGUGUAGCGGUGAAAUGCGUAGAGAUCUGGAGGAAUACCGGUGGCGAAGGCGGCCCCCUGGACAAAGACUGACGCUCAGGUGCGAAAGCGUGGGGGAGCAAACAGGAUUAGAUACCCUGGUAGUCCACGCCGUAAACGAUGUCGACUUGGAGGUUGUGCCCUUGAGGCGUGGCUUCCGGAGCUAACGCGUUAAGUCGACCGCCUGGGGAGUACGGCCGCAAGGUUAAAACUCAAAUGAAUUGACGGGG
rnacentral:rRNA from 1 species